rnacentral:rRNA from 1 species
GGAAUUUUGCGCAAUGGGGGAAACCCUGACGCAGCAAUACCGCGUGUGGGAUGAAGGCCUUCGGGUCGUAAACCACUUUUCUCGGGGACGAUAAUGACGGUACCCGAGGAAUAAGCCACGGCUAACUACGUGCCAGCAGCCGCGGUAAUACGUAGGUGGCAAGCGUUGUCCGGAUUUACUGGGCGUAAAGCGCGCGCAGGCGGUGAAUGAAGUCGAAAGUGAAAGCCCCGGGCUCAACUCGGGAACAGCUCUCGAAACCAGUUCACUUGAAGGUGGAAGAGGGAAGUGGAAUUCCGAGUGUAGCGGUGGAAUGCGCAGAUAUUCGGAGGAACACCAGAGGCGAAGGCGACUUCCUGGUCCAAUCUUGACGCUGAGGCGCGAAAGCUAGGGGAGCAAACAGGAUUAGAUAUCCUGGUAGUCCUAGCUGUAAACGAUGGAUACUAGGUGUUGGAGGUUUUAACCCCUCCGGUGCCGCAGCUAACGCAUUAAGUAUCCCGCCUGGGGAGUACGGCCGCAAGGCUAAAACUCAAAUGAAUUGACGG